GCCGGCGACCGGCGCACGGGUGAGUAACACGUAUGCAACCUGGCCGUCRCAGGAGGAUAACCCGGAGAAAUCCGGCCUAAUACUCCAUAACACCUGAGAGGGACAUCCCUUUUAGGUCAAAGGAAGCGAUUCCGGUGACGGAUGGGCAUGCGGCGCAUUAGCUAGUCGGCGGGGUAACGGCCCACCGAGGCGACGAUGCGUAGGGGYUCUGAGAGGAAGGUCCCCCACAUUGGAACUGAGACACGGUCCAAACUCCUACGGGAGGCAGCAGUGAGGAAUAUUGGUCAAUGGGCGGAAGCCUGAACCAGCCAAGUCGCGUGAGGGAAUAAGGCCCUACGGGUCGUAAACCUCUUUUGCCGGGGAGCAAGUCUGGGGACGUGUCCCUAGAUGGAGAGUACCCGGAGAAAAAGCAUCGGCUAACUCCGUGCCAGCAGCCGCGGUAAUACGGAGGAUGCGAGCGUUAUCCGGAUUUAUUGGGUUUAAAGGGUGCGUAGGCGGGCUUUUAAGUCAGCGGUAAAAAUUCGGGGCUCAACCCCGUCGUGCCGUUGAAACUGGGAGUCUUGAGUGAGCGAGAAGUAUGCGGAAUGCGUGGUGUAGCGGUGAAAUGCAUAGAUAUCACGAAGAACUCCGAUU
rnacentral:rRNA from 1 species